rnacentral:rRNA from 1 species
AGCGGCGAAAGGGAGAGUAACGCGUGGAUACCUACCCUGAGGCCCGGGAUAGCUGCGGGAAACUGCAGGUAAUACCGGAUAAUGUCUCCGGACCAAAGGUGUGAUUCCUUCUUAGGAUGGGCCCGCGUCCUAUUAGCUUGUUGGUGAGGUAAUGGCUCACCAAGGCUACGAUGGGUACUGGGUGUGAGAGCACGACCCAGCUCACUGGGACUGAGACACUGCCCAGACACCUACGGGUGGCUGCAGUCGAGAAUCUUCCGCAAUGGGCGAAAGCCUGACGGAGCGACGCCGCGUGUGGGACGAAGGCCUUCGGGUUGUAAACCACUGUCAGUUGGGAGGAAAUAUCUAGGGGUUCUCCCCUAGGUUUGACCGAUCUUCAGAGGAAGUCCGGGCUAAGCUCGUGCCAGCAGCCGCGGUAAGACGAGCCGGACGAACGUUAUUCGGAAUUACUGGGCUUAAAGAGUGCGUAGGCGGCCUAGAAGGUGGGGUGUGAAAUCCCUCGGCUCAACCGAGGAAUGGCGCUUCAAACCACUAGGCUUGAGUGAGACAGAGGUGAGCGGAACUGAUGGUGGAGCGGUGAAAUGUGUUGAUAUCAUCAGGAACACCGGUGGCGAAGGCGGCUCACUGGGUCUUGUCUGACGCUGAGGCACGAAAGCUAGGGUAGCAAACGGGAUUAGAUACCCCGGUAGUCCUAGCCGUAAACGAUGAGCACUUGA